rnacentral:rRNA from 1 species
GACGGAGGAUGCAAGUGUUAUCCGGAAUCACUGGGCGUAAAGCGUCUGUAGGUGGUUCGAAAAGUCCACUGUUAAAAAUUGAGGCUUAACUUCAAAGAUGCCGUGGAAACUUUCAAACUAGAGUAUGGUAGGGGUAGAGGGAAUUUCCAGUGGAGCGGUGAAAUGCGUAGAUAUUGGAAAGACCACCGAUGGCGAAGGCACUCUACUGGGCCAUUACUGACACUGAGAGACGAAAGCUAGGGGAGCAAAUAGG